CGCGCUGAACGAUGCACGGUGAAUAAACAGACAAAGAAAGAGACAGAAAACAGCCAUGAAGCACAUCUGAAAAGCUCAUCGAUCCAUCCGACACCGACAUCCGACGGUUAUUUGCAAGUGUGGGGGCGAAUCAUUACCUGCAGCUCUUUGGUUUCUUCUCGUUUCCUCCUCUCUGCCUCUUCCAGCUUUUCUUUCCAAGUUCUGCACAUAUCGAAAGACACAUAAAAUGGAAAACCUUGAUAUGAACUUGACUUUUCCACUGAUGUCAGUAUGAUGUCAUGGGCUGGGAAAACAGCCAAACAUGUUUCAACCCUUGAAGAUCCCGUCUGCUGCGACCUGAGACCACAGAAAACUCCUGCGUUUUGCCUUUUUCUACUCCAAAGCCACUUUCCCUAACCUCAAACUAAUCUGGCUACGUGCCGGGGAUUUUUGCACUUUAAAGGAAUGAGAAACAUCGGAGAGGUUAGAGUUUCUCUUGAGGCAUGUUAUUCCUGAAAGACUAUGACUUUAGUCAUGAUUUAUGUAAAUAAUGGCGUUUAUUACUUGUUAUAUGUAAAGGUAAUGGAUUAAAAUGUAUACUUUCUUAUGUUGACUUAGUGAACAGCAGAAAAUUAAACAUGAUUUAUCUAAAAA